AACAGGAUUAGAUACCCUGGUAGUCCACGCCGUAAACGAUGAGUGCUAGGUGUUGGGGGGCUACGCCCCUCAGUGCCGAAGGUAACCCAUUAAGCACUCCGCCUGGGGAGUACGGCCGCAAGGCUGAAACUCAAAGGAAUUGACGGGGGCCCGCACAAGCGGUGGAGCAUGUGGUUUAAUUCGAAGCAACGCGAAGAACCUUACCAGGGCUUGACAUCCCGCUGACCCCUCCAGAGAUGGAGGUUUCCUUCGGGACAGCGGUGACAGGUGGUGCAUGGUUGUCGUCAGCUCGUGUCGUGAGAUGUUGGGUUCAGUCCCGCAACGAGCGCAACCCUUGUCGUUAGUUGCCAGCAUUUCGGAUGGGCACUCUAACGAGACAGCCGGUGAAAGCCGGAGGAAGGUGGGGAUGACGUCGAAUCAUCAUGCCCCUUAUGUCCUGGGCUACACACGUGCUACAAUGGCUGGUACAAAGGGCAGCGAACCCGCGAGGGGGAGCCAAUCCCAAAAAGCCAGUCUCAGUUCGGAUCGCAGGCUGCAACUCGCCUGCGUGAAGCCGGAAUCGCUAGUAAUCGCGGAUCAGCAUGCCGCGGUGAAUAUGUUCCCGGGCCUUGUACACACCGCCCGUCACACCACGAGAGUUUGCAACACCCGAAGUCGGUGAGGCAACCUUUUAGGAGCCAGCCGCCGAAGGUGGGGCAGAUGAUUGGGGUGAAGUCGUAACAAGGUAACC
rnacentral:rRNA from 1 species